GAAAUGGAACGCUGGGUUCUAGAGGGAGAUAGCUACUUGUUUCUUCGCAGUGCUCCACACACGUUCAACCUGCAGAAUCAUGAAGGGCCAAAUCGUGUGGAGAUCUUUGACAUCACUUCAAUCCCUAGCCAUCGUAAUGCCAUAUCUGAAACAACAUGCCUGUGUGACAUUUUUGUGGAUGACUGCGAGUCUCCAUCACUUUCCAGUAGCCCAGCCUCUGCCGCAUUUAUCAGGAGAGAAGUGGAUCAGUCUUUUCCAGCAGAUGAUGCCAAUGACUCUUCAGGAUCCUAUCACACUGCCAAUGGAUCUGACUUAAGCGACAACACUGAAGUCACUUACAACACACCUUCUCCAGAAAAUAUCCAGAAUUUUUCCACAUUUGAAACCAGGGAAUCACGUUCACCCCCAGGUGAAUCAACCAUCUUGUCUGAUUCCAAUAAUGGACUUAAACCACUAGACUGCACACCACCUGCAUCAAAAGUCAAUGCUAAUGACCUUUCACAUACAAAUAACUGGGAAGAACCACAAGUGUCAGUGGAUAAUGCCCCAGUGAAUGAAACAGCAAUCACAAAUGCAUCUGAACCACAGUAUGUGAACUCAACAACAGCUGCUACCCUGAUUAAUCCAGCAAAUGGACCUUCUAAUACUUCAUCCUGCUCUUCAGAAGAGAAAGAACCUGCAAUUUUUGAGCAAGAAGGAAUUAUUAAAACACCUCAACAUAAAAGUACAAACCCAUUUUUAGAUAAGCAAAUAUUUGAAUCAGACUGUGAAUCCUUCGCAGGGUAUCCACUUGAACAAAAUAAUGUGAUGUAUUCUGAGAAAAAAGAGAGUAUGAACUAUCGAAGUCCACAAGAGCAAAACAUUCUCUUUGCACAAGGGAUAGUGAACAGUGACUCUGCAUUAGAACUGUCAAACCCUGCUCCAACAGAUUGCAGCCCUAUGCAGGAAAUGUCUACUUCACCUUCAGACAGAGAUAUUAAUUUUCUGCCCAUACCCAGUGUCAUGCAAGAGCCCAGAUUAAACUCCACCUCACCUGUAAGCAGGGAAACUACCUCCACACCUGCAGGUAGAUCUUCACCUGAGGUGCUGAAUUUGUGUCCAACUCAAGUUAGGCAUGCAUCAGAGUCUCCAAACUUGGAGGACACAUAUGGUGCUUCUUUAUCUGUAUCUACACUUCCUACCAGUGAUAAUGUGGAAAUAGAUUCUCUAACUGUGUCUGC
ensembl:lncRNA